UACGAAGGGGGCUAGCGUUGUUCGGAAUCACUGGGCGUAAAGGGCGCGUAGGCGGCUUUGUAAGUCGGGGGUGAAAGCCUGUGGCUCAACCACAGAAUUGCCUUCGAUACUGCAUGGCUUGAGACCGGAAGAGGUUAGUGGAACUGCGAGUGUAGAGGUGAAAUUCGUAGAUAUUCGCAAGAACACCAGUGGCGAAGGCGGCUCACUGGACUGGUAUUGACGCUGAGGUGCGAAAGCGUGGGGAGCAAACAGG
rnacentral:rRNA from 1 species